rnacentral:lncRNA from 1 species
UUUAUGUUUGCUAAUUCCCACUCCCAAAAAGAUCAAUGCAUUCCUAUAACAUCUCCUUGCUAGAUCGUGAUCUCCAACCACCUCCCCAACUUCGUUCGGUGUGGGGAACUUGAUCUUGAAGUAAGGGAUCAAAGUCACCACCAGAAGAGCUGUUAGAGUCAGCCUCCCCAAUAUGACAUUGUACGCCGAAUCCAUAUGCACUACAAAAAAAUUGACAAACUAUCUUCGCAUGAUAGGGAGCCAUCCAAAAAAUAACUGGUAGCUCGAUCAUCCCUGCAACCUUGACUGGAUCGUUGCUAAACCCGUACAGAGGAGGCUCCUAACCGACCUCUUAUUUUUGACCCUCCAAAUCCAUCCUUUGGUAGGCAUGGGCAUACAAAAU